CACUCUCUGGUGUGUGCGCCAGUCGGUCAUGUCCCCGAGCCGAUAAGCAACACCCCGGGGGUUGCUCGUAAGACUGGUGUGCAUGUCCGCUACGGCGGAAAGCCUAAAGGUCUACGACUUCUCCCACCUUGAACCAAGGGUUCAAGGGCUACACCGGCAGCGGCAUUCCGGAGAGCUC
rfam:Pseudomonas oryzihabitans strain TSDA-ARS-TSMARC-56511, complete genome.